rnacentral:rRNA from 1 species
UACAGAGGGGGCAAGCGUUGUUCGGAAUUACUGGGCGUAAAGGGCGCGUAGGCGGCCUUCUAAGUCGAACGUGAAAUCCCCGGGCUCAACCCGGGAACUGCGUCCGAUACUGGAAGGCUUGAAUCCGGGAGAGGGAUGCGGAAUUCCAGGUGUAGCGGUGAAAUGCGUAGAUAUCUGGAGGAACACCGGUGGCGAAGGCGGCAUCCUGGACCGGCAUUGACGCUGGGGCGCGAAAGCCAGGGGAGCAAACGGG